UAAGGAAAAUGCACAAAUUUGAAUGAAAUUAUUGAAAAUAAAAAAAAAAGAUUUUAGUAAGAUAUUUUGCUAAGUUGAGUGACAGUCGGCAAUUACAGCUCCCAAUCCAACGACGCCGGCAGUCGGCAGCCGUAUCCGAACCCAGCUUCCCAAAUUGACCCGUAUCCGAAUUCGAUCCGACCCAAUCAGCGUACAAACGCAAUUUCCCUCAACAGCUCAGCCCUUUUGGUUUUUGAAUUUCGAAUUUGUGCCAACCUGAUAGUGCAAUUACAGCUCAUCCUCCUUUUCCCUUUCUAAAAAAAUCAAACACCUUUACCCCAAAGAUUUCGGAGAUUACCCUCGGAUUCCUCUUUCUCCCACGGGAGUGGGAUUUCAAAAGAACCCUCAAUUCAUUCUAUAAAAGAGCUCAUGAUUUAGCUGGAAAAGGAGGGGGAGCAGAGGUCGGGGAGGGAAAAAGAACCAAUUUGAGCAAAUUUAGUAAAUUUUCACUUUUAGUAAAAAAUUUUGAGAAGCGGUCGAAGCUUUCGAAAUCACGGCGAAGCUUUUCCGGUGGUGGUUGUGAGUCCGACGAAAGCUCGACGUCCUGGUUUGCUGCUCCCGAACAGGCCUAUCCUUUGGAAGAUUUUGGGAGCCGGUUACAUGACAUAUGGAUACAAGGAGUCAAAAAGAUAGAAUGGGUUGAAGUCCCGUUCUUGAAGCGGCAACGACACUCGAAAGUCUCAUUCUUUUAUUUAUUUACUAGGAAAAUUAAUCGCGUUUCGCGCGGUGUUAAAAAAUUAAUUAUUUUUUUCAAUUAAUUUUAUAUUCACUUUAGAUUUAUUGUCUAGUUAUAAUAUUAUAACUUGUUAUAUUUA